AAACCAACUUGCUGAGGAGUUUGCAUUGCAAAGAGUUAGUUCAAAACGUCAAAGGAAGCAUAUUUUAUGAUUCCUGAAAAUGAGGCACUCUGGCUCAUGUUGAGUUGACAGACACUGAACAGCACCAAGAAUUUGUUUUGGUUCAUAGUUUGAGAGGUGAUGAAGUGAAUCCUGGAAGAAGGCAUUGCCGCAGCAUCGUGAGAUCGCAGCACCAUAGCGUCUGCAGUCAGGAAGUGGAGAGUAGAGAGUAGACAGGACGUGGCAUCGCAUUUCCCAAUUCAUAGGCUUCACAAGACCCUAGACUGCACAGAUCAUGGGAAGAAGAGUGCAGAUGAGCAGUCAUGAUACCCUUGUCCACCCCCCCUCGGUUCCAAACGUAUCAACACUUUCAGAUACUAACAAGUCAGGCACUACAAUGCCAGGAACGGACUUGUAGGACCCAUGUCAGCAAGUUCUGGGAUCCAACAACGCCAAGCAGCUGGGAUCCUGGCCUAGAAAACAGGUUGUAUCACUAAUACCAAAGGUGUUGGACCCGGAGCAAGAAAAUCUCCAUCAUUGGUUCCCUCCAGACCCGCUCUGUGACCCCAAGUUCUAGACACCAGUGACAGACAGAUGGGUGUCCUCAUUCUCCCUAAAUGGGGCUGGAUUACAGGGUGGCUUUUUGUUGG
rnacentral:lncRNA from 1 species